UGUUUCGGCUAGGGGGUCAUCCCGACUUACCAACCCGAUGCAAACUACGAAUACCGAAGAAUGUUAUCACGGGAGACACACGGCGGGUGCUAACGUCCGUCGUGAAGAGGGAAACAACCCAGACCGCCAGCUAAGGUCCCAAAGUCAUGGUUAAGUGGGAAACGAUGUGGGAAGGCACAGACAGCCAGGAUGUUGGCUUAGAAGCAGCCAUCAUUUAAAGAAAGCGUAAUAGCUCACUGGUCGAGUCGGCCUGCGCGGAAGAUGUAACGGGGCUAAACCAUGCACCGAAGCUGCGGCAGCGACACUAUGUGUUGUUGGGUAGGGGAGCGUUCUGUAAGCCUGCGAAGGUGUGCUGUGAGGCAUGC
rnacentral:rRNA from 1 species